rnacentral:lncRNA from 1 species
UCACCUUCAGAUGUGUGUGGGCUAUGGAGACCGAUGGAUGAUUCGCGCCGCUAUGGAUCUACCUGAUGCACUUUCUGAAUGAUGACCUGUGUGUCUCUUUUCUCUUUUGACAUGUAGUCUUUCGUGUUGAAUUUCGUAGACAGGGCGCACGACAAUCUUAUCAAGCUUUGUUAAGGCAGCAAGAUAGAUUGCUGAGAUGCCUGUUCAGUUGAGUUGAGUUGAGAGGCACUAAACCUGGAAACGCUCAACUCCUCAUUCUGAAUUUCCUUUUCGAUCCUAAACCUGUAACUGGAAUUUUGUGUUGCAAAUAAAACUCGAUGCAUUAUGCAGAACAGUGUGGGUUCACAUUCAUAUCUUGAGUGGUG